GACGAACGCUGGCGGCGUGCUUAACACAUGCAAGUCGAACGGAAAGGCCCUGCUUUUGUGGGGUGCUCGAGUGGCGAACGGGUGAGUAACACGUGAGUAACCUGCCCUUGACUUUGGGAUAACUUCAGGAAACUGGGGCUAAUACCGUAUAGGAGCUCCUGCUGCAUGGUGGGGGUUGGAAAGUUUCGGCGGUUGGGGCUGGACUCGCGGCUUAUCAGCUUGUUGGUGGGGUAGUGGCUUACCCAGGCUUUGACGGGUAGCCGGCCUGAGAGGGUGACCGGGCACAUUGGGCCUGAGAUACGGACCAGACGCCUACGGGGGGCAGCAGUGGGGAAUAUUGCACAGUGGGAGGAAGCCUGAGGCAGAAACGCCGCGUGCGGGAUGACGGCCUUCGGGUUGUAAACCGCUUUCGCCUGUGACGAAGCGUGAGUGACGGUAAUGGGUAAAGAAGCACCGGCUAACUACGUG
rnacentral:rRNA from 1 species